GAUGAAGAACGCAGUGAAAUGCGAUAAGUAAUGCGAAUUGCAGAAUUCAGUGAGUCAUCGAAUCUUUGAACGCACAUUGCGCCCUGUGGUAUUCCGCAGGGCAUGCCUGUUCGAGCGUCACUACACACCUUAUCACAAUAUUUGUGGUCUUGGCAGGAGUGAAUUGCUGGUCUAUGGAAGUAUUCCAGCAGUACACAAUGCUAAAAAAUAUGGGAAGGUUACCAGAUAUGAACAACAGACUUUGUAAAUGGUUGUAGGACCUAGAUCAGUCACAAGUCAUGUCUGGUCCCUUACCUUAAGGACCCCCAUCCUAGAUGAACUAUGGGUUGACCUCGGAUCAGGUAGGAAUACCCGCUGAACUUAAGCAUAUCAAUAAGCGGAGGA
rnacentral:misc_RNA from 1 species